AUGGAACCGCCGCCGCCGCGUCGCCGCGUCUCGCCGCCGGCGAUCCCGGACGAGCUCUUCGAAGAGAUCCUCCUCCGCCUCCCACCCGACGACCCCGCCUGCCUCCUCCGCGCCUCCCUCGUCUGCAAGGCCUGGAGCCACACCGUCUCCAGCCCCAGAUUCCGCCGCCGCCUCCAUGAGCUCCACCGCACACCCCCCGUGCUCGGCGUCCUCCACAACUGGGCGGACGAGCGCAUCCCCCGAUUCAUCCACACCACCGCAUCGUCCUUCUCCCUCGCCGCCCCGGUCUGGCGCACCUGGCGAGCCCUCGACUGCCGCCACAGACGCGCCCUCUUCUUCCCCCAGGAAUUCGGUGGUCCGGCAAUGCUCCUGUGGGAUUCAAUCACGGGCGCCCAGCAGCGCAUACCGGUGCCCGCGGCGUUCAAGAGCGACGAUUUCCCAACGGCUGCCGUGUUCUGCGCAGCCGACGGGUGCGACCACGGUGACUGCUUCGGUGGUCCUUUCCGCGUGGUCUUCUUCUUCACCGUCGAGGUAGACGAGGGGACGCACGCCACGUCGGCGUGCAUAUACUUGUCCGAGACUGGCGCCUGGGGCGAGCUGACCUCAGCUCACUCCAACCGCGAGUUCUUGGAAUUCAGAGAAAGCUACAGCGUGCUCGUUGACAGAUCUGCGCUCUACUUCAUGUUCGACGGCAACGCGGAUACUGCGUCGGUUGUGCAAUUUGACUUGGCAAGCCAUGACCUGACUGUGUUCGGCCUACCGGACACAUACCGACUUUGCAUAUAG
rnacentral:rRNA from 1 species